rnacentral:rRNA from 1 species
CCUACGGGAGGCAGCAGUGGGGAAUUUUGGACAAUGGGCGCAAGCCUGAUCCAGCCAUGCCGCGUGCAGGAUGAAGGCCUUCGGGUUGUAAACUGCUUUUGUACGGAACGAAAAGACUCUGGUUAAUACCUGGGGUCCAUGACGGUACCGUAAGAAUAAGCACCGGCUAACUACGUGCCAGCAGCCGCGGUAAUACGUAGGGUGCGAGCGUUAAUCGGAAUUACUGGGCGUAAAGCGUGCGCAGGCGGUUAUAUAAGACAGAUGUGAAAUCCCCGGGCUCAACCUGGGAACUGCAUUUGUGACUGUAUAGCUAGAGUACGGCAGAGGGGGAUGGAAUUCCGCGUGUAGCAGUGAAAUGCGUAGAUAUGCGGAGGAACACCGAUGGCGAAGGCAAUCCCCUGGGCCUGUACUGACGCUCAUGCACGAAAGCGUGGGGAGCAAACAGGAUUAGAUACCCUGGUAGUCCACGCCCUAAACGAUGUCAACUGGUUGUUGGGUCUUCACUGACUCAGUAACGAAGCUAACGCGUGAAGUUGACCGCCUGGGGAAGUCGGCCGCAAGGUUGAAACGUUAAAGGAAUUGACGGCGNGAGAGNGCGAGACGACGACGAGGGAGGAGG